UACGUAGGGCGCGAGCGUUGUCCGGAAUUAUUGGGCGUAAAGAGCUCGUAGGCGGCCUGUCGCGUCCGCUGUGAAAUCCCGGGGCUCAACCCCGGGCCUGCAGUGGAUACGGGCUGGCUGGAGGCAGGCAGGGGAGAACGGAAUUCCUGGUGUAGCGGUGAAAUGCGCAGAUAUCAGGAGGAACACCGGUGGCGAAGGCGGGUCUCUGGGCCGAAAUUGACGCUGAGGAGCGAAAGCGUGGGGAGCGAACAGG
rnacentral:rRNA from 1 species